UUCGAUUAAGCCAUGCGAGUCGAGAGUCCUCGGGACUCGGCGUACCGCUCAGUAACACGUGGGUAACCUGCCCUAUGCUGGGGAAUAACCUCGGGAAACUGAGAACAAUGCCCCAUAGCCCACUACGCCUGGAACGGUGAGUGGGUCAAAGCUCCGGCGGCAUAGGAUGGGCCUGCGCCGUAUCAGGUUGUAGGGGGUGUAAAGUACCCUCUAGCCAUCAACGCGUACAGGUGUUGGGAGACAUUGCCCGGAGAUGGAUUCUGAGACACGAAUCCAGACCCUACGGGGUGCAGCAGGCGCGAAAACUUGGCAAUGCGAGAAAUCGUGACCAGGGAACUCCAAGUGCGUAGGGUAAGACCUACGCUUUUCUUGACUCUUCAAAGGUCUUGGAAUAAGGGGUGGGUAAGGACGGUGCCAGCCGCCGCGGUAAUACCGGCGCCUCAAGUGGUAGUCGCUUUUAUUGGGCCUAAAACGUCCGUAGCCGGUCUGGUGCAUUCGUGGGUAAAUCAACCCGCUCAACGGGUUGAAUUCUGCGAGCACGGCCAGACUUGGGACCGGGAGAGGUGUGGGGUACUCUCAGGGUAGGGGUAAAAUCCUGUCAUCCUGAGAGGACCACCUGUUGCGAAGGCGCCACACUAGAACGGAUCCGACGGUCAGGGACGAAACCUAGGGGCACGAACCGGAUUAGAUACCCGGGUAGUCCUAGGUGUAAACGCUGUGGACUUGAUGUUGGGGGCGCUCCGAGCGCUCUCAGUGUCGAAGCGAAGGUGAUAAGUCCACUGCCUGGGGAGUACGGUCGCUAGGCUGAAACUUAAAGGAAUUGGCGGGGGAGCACUGCAACCUGAGGAUUGUGCG
rnacentral:rRNA from 1 species